AACGCUAGCUACAGGCUUAACACAUGCAAGUCGAGGGGCAGCAUGGUCUUAGCUUGCUAAGGCCGAUGGCGACCGGCGCACGGGUGAGUAACACGUAUCCAACCUGCCGUCUACUCUUGGACAGCCUUCUGAAAGGAAGAUUAAUACAAGAUGGCAUCAUGAGUCCGCAUGUUCACAUGAUUAAAGGUAUUCCGGUAGACGAUGGGGAUGCGUUCCAUUAGAUAGUAGGCGGGGUAACGGCCCACCUAGUCUUCGAUGGAUAGGGGUUCUGAGAGGAAGGUCCCCCNCAUUGGAACUGAGACACGGUCCAAAYUCCUACGGGAGGCAGCAGUGAGGAAUAUUGGUCAAUGGCGAGAGCCUGAACCAGCCAAGUAGCGUGAAGGAUGACUGCCCUAUGGGUUGUAAACUUCUUUUAUAAAGGAAUAAAGUCGGGUAUGGAUACCCGUUUGCAUGUACUUUAUGAAUAAGGAUCGGCUAACUCCGUGCCAGCAGCCGCGGUAAUACGGAGGAUCCGAGCGUUAUCCGGAUUUAUUGGGUUUAAAGGGAGCGUAGAUGGAUGUUUAAGUCAGUUGUGAAAGUUUGCGGCUCAACCGUAAAAUUGCAGUUGAUACUGGAUAUCUUGAGUGCAGUUGAGGCAGGCGGAAUUCGUGGUGUAGCAGUGAAAUGCUUAGAUAUCACGAAGAACUCCGAUUG
rnacentral:rRNA from 1 species